rnacentral:rRNA from 1 species
CCUACGGGGGGCAGCAGUGAGGAAUAUUGGUCAAUGGUCGGGAGACUGAACCAGCCAAGCCGCGUGAGGGAUGAAGGUACAGAGUAUCGUAAACCUCUUUUGUCAGGGAACAAAGGCGGGGACGUGUCCCCGGAUGAGUGUACCUGAAGAAAAAGCAUCGGCUAACUCCGUGCCAGCAGCCGCGGUAAUACGGAGGAUGCGAGCGUUAUCCGGAUUUAUUGGGUUUAAGGGGUGCGCAGGCGGUCUGUUAAGUCAGCGGGCAAAGCCCGGGGCUCAACCCCGGCCCGCCGUUGAAACUGGCAGUCUCGAGUGGGAGAGAGGUAUGCGGAAUGCGCGGUGUAGCGGUGAAAUGCAUAGAUAUCGCGCAGAACUCCGAUUGCGAAGGCAGCAUGCCGGCUCCACACUGACGCUGAGGCACGAAAGCGUGGGUAUCGAACAGGAUUAGAUACCCGGGUAGUC